UACGUAGGUGGCAAGCGUUGUCCGGAUUUACUGGGCGUAAAGAGCGCGCAGGCGGUCGUUCAAGUCGCGUGUGAAAGCCCCCGGCUCAACUGGGGAGGGUCACGCGAUACUGAUCGACUCGAAGGCAGGAGAGGGAAGUGGAAUUCCCGGUGUAGUGGUGAGAUGCGUAGAUAUCGGGAGGAACACCAGUGGCGAAGGCGACUUCCUGGCCUGUUCUUGACGCUGAGGCGCGAAAGCUAGGGGAGCAAACGGG
rnacentral:rRNA from 1 species